rnacentral:misc_RNA from 1 species
UGACCACUUAAGCCUGGCUUAGUGUUGGGAAUCUACGUUUGUAGUUCCUUAAAUCCAGUGGCGGAGCCGCAGUGGCCUCUGAGCGUAGUAAUUUUUUCUCGCUUCUGAAAAUACUGUAGUUUUUGCCAUUAAACCCCCAAUUUUUUAA